rnacentral:rRNA from 1 species
AGACAGCAGUAGCCGCGGGAAUACGGAGGAUCCAAGCGUUAUCCUGAAUCAUUGGGUUUAAAGGGUCCGUAGGCGGUCUUGUAAGUCAGUGGUGAAAGCCCAUCGCUCAACGGUGGAACGGCCAUUGAUACUGCAGGACUUGAAUUAUUGGGAAGUAACUAGAAUAUGUAGUGUAGCGGUGAAAUGCUUAGAGAUUACAUGGAAUACCAAUUGCGAAGGCAGGUUACUACCAAUUGAUUGACGCUGAUGGACGAAAGCGUGGGUAGCGAACAGGAUUAGAUACCCCCGUAGUCCCUGUCUCUUAUAC